rnacentral:rRNA from 1 species
UACGUAGGGGGCAAGCGUUGUCCGGAAUCAUUGGGCGUAAAGCGCGCGUAGGCGGCCAGAUAAGUCCGGUGUGAAAGCCACAGGCUCAACCUGUGAAUGCCGCUGGAAACUGUCUGGCUAGAGUCCGGGAGGGGCGAGUGGAAUUCCUGGUGUAGCGGUGAAAUGCGCAGAUAUCAGGAGGAACACCAAUUGCGAAGGCAGCUCGCUGGGACGUUACUGACGCUGAGACGCGAAAGCGUGGGGAGCAAACAGG